rnacentral:misc_RNA from 1 species
GUGGCCCCAUCUCCCACCCGUGUCGUUUGAUAACCUGUUGCUUGGGCGGGCCCACCGGGUUCUGCCUGGUCGCCGGGGGGCAUCGCCCCCGGGCCCGCGCCCGCCGAAGCACCCUAGGAACUCUGAUGAAGAUGGGCUGUCUGAGUCUGACGAAACAAUUGUCAAAACUUUCAACAAUGGAUCUCUUGGUUCCGGCAUCGAUGAAGAACGCAGCGAAAUGCGAUAAGUAAUGUGAAUUGCAGAAUUCCGUGAAUCAUCGAAUCUUUGAACGCACAUUGCGCCCCCUGGCAUUCCGGGGGGCAUGCCUGUCCGAGCGUCAUUUCUGCCCUCAAGCGCGGCUUGUGUGUUGGGCGUGGUCCCCCCGGGGACCUGCCCGAAAGGCAGCGGCGACGUCCGUCGGGUCCUCGAGCGUAUGGGGCUUUGUCACUCGCUCGGGAGGGACCUGCGGGGGUUGGUCACCACUGAAAUUUGUUUCCAUGGUUGACC